CUCCCGGAUUCCAAGCCAUGACCAGAUUUAUGGAAACCUAGCGCCGCCGCCUUUAGAUAUCCCGGCAGUGCCUCUCUCCGGCGAACCCUGCGCAGCGCCUCUCCGCCGAACCCUGCGCGGCGCCUGGCGACAAUCAUAGUUUGCUGGUACAAGAUAUGUUUGUUUUGCUGCGCAGAGUCCUGAUCCGGUCGGACUCGGUGCGACGGUGCGCUCUCCCAUGAAAUUGUGGCUUUCUCCUCAUCGCACAUCGUACGUCACCAGGCCAUGACGGAUCUUUGCCAGCAAUUCCGAACAAACAAUCAAGGGUCCAUAGGAAUGCUGGUACGAAGUUUGUAGAGCCUCCCAAGUACAACACUAAAAGUUCACUACAAUUACAGUCUAUCCAAGCAGCAAAUUGAUGGCCAUUUCUUUAGCUAGCAUUUUCACGUUGAUAUAACCUUGACCUUCCUUGAGUUCUUUAUGUGUAAUUAGAGAUGUAAAUUACAUCGCUUACGUAGUCGUGACCAAGGGCAAACCUUGACCAAGUAUUAUAUAGCUCAGGUUGUUAUACCUUUCAUCAUAUUUUAUUUAAAUUGUCUCCAAUCAAAACCACCAACAUUUGUUUCUUAAAGGGCUUCAACCAAAAUGCAUCAUAGCUUCAAGUUUUACUGCUAGAAGCGAAAGGUUUGGAAUAUGCAUCAUAAGGGUGUUGCUGCAUCAGGCUGGUUGUAGCUACAUGCUGAAGCUAAUAAGUCAUUUGUGAUGUUCGCUAAUUACCCUGAUCCUAAGAAGGUGCAUACUUUGGCCAACGUUGAAAAAUUACUGCAAAUGAUUUGAAAUUUGAUGAAUCACAGUAAAAGACCAAAUGGAAAAUAUCACAUGAUGCAGUGAAGAUCCAUCGGUGUUGAAGUAGUACAUGCAAAAGCUUAGAUAGAUUCCAGCUAGUCCCCAAUUUGUUUGGGAAAAGGUUUUGAUGUUGCUGCUGUUGUUGUAUACCUUUACCACUCUUUUAUAUUUACCCACGGCUCAGUUGUAAAGAAUAAGAUCUCUUGAUUAAUAUAUAAUAUAUUUAUAUCC